UACGUAGGGGGCAAGCGUUGUCCGGAAUCACUGGGCGUAAAGCGCGCGCAGGCGGCUGUCUACGUCCGGGGUGAAAGCCCAGAGCUCAACUCUGGGAUUGCCUUGGAUACGGGAUGGCUUGAGGAUCGGAGAGGCAAGGGGAAUUCCACGUGUAGCGGUGAAAUGCGUAGAGAUGUGGAGGAACACCAACGGCGAAAGGCAGUCAC
rnacentral:rRNA from 1 species